rnacentral:tRNA from 1 species
GGAGGGGUGCCCGAGUGGACAAAGGGAGCGGACUGUAAAUCCGCCGGCGUAACGCCUACGCAGGUUCGAAUCCUGCCCCCUCCACCA